rnacentral:lncRNA from 1 species
AAUGGCCUAGAGAGCUCCAAGCUGAUCUUGAAGACUAAAGUUGAUGGCAAGCAUACAUUUGGCCCUGCUGGAAAACUGAAGUUCUCACCAGCUACCUGCACUUCAGCCUUCUUAUGGCCUUACUACAAGCACCCGCAGCUUCCCAAAGUCUCAUGGCCCAAAUUGCCACCCUAUUCCAAAUCUCAUCCAUGGUAUAAGCCCAUGCCCAAGAUCUACCUUCCACCUAUCAAAUUUCCUCCACUCCCGCCAAAGGUCUAUCCUCCUUUCACAUUUCCUCCACUCCCUCCAAAAGUCUUCCCUCCACCAGUGCCAAUCUAUAAGAAACCGCUACCACCCCCUGUGCCAGUGUACAAGAAGCCAUUACCACCCCCAGUACCAGUAUACAAGAAGCCGUUACCACCCCCCGUACCAGUAUACAAGAAGCCGCUUCCACCCCCAGUGCCAAUAUACAAGAAGCCGCUUCCACCCCCAGUGCCAAUAUACAAGAAGCCGCUCCCACCCCCAGUGCCAAUAUACAAGAAGCCGCUCCCACCCCCAGUGCCAAUAUACAAGAAGCCGCUCCCACCCCCAGUGCCAAUAUACAAGAAGCCGCUCCCACCCCCAGUGCCAGUAUACAAGAAGCCGCUCCCACCCCCAGUGCCAGUAUACAAGAAGCCGCUCCCACCCCCAGUGCCAGUAUACAAGAAGCCGCUCCCACCCCCAGUGCCAAUAUACAAGAAGCCACUACCACCCCCAGUGCCAAUAUACAAGAAGCCACUACCACCCCCAGUGCCAGUGUACAAGAAGCCGCUUCCCCCACCUGUUCCAGUUUAUAAGAAGCCACUUCCUCCACCUGUUCCAGUUUAUAAGAAGCCACUUCCUCCGCCAGUCCCAGUAUAUAAGAAGCCGUGUCCUCCAGAAAUUCCUAAGAUCCUUCCACCACCAAUACCAAUAUACAAAAAGCCGCUUCCACCUUUUGUUCCAAUCUACAAGCCAAUUCCACCUAUCUCCAAACCUCUUCCUCCAUUUCCUCCAAUUUAUAAGAAGCCAUGGCCACCCAUUCCUCAAGUCCCUCUUCCUAAAUUUCCUCCUGUCCACAAGUUUCCUCCAAAGUACUUCCACCACCCCAAGUUUGGAUUUGGUUCUCCUGUACCACCUUAUUCUUCUCAUCCAUAGGUUAUCCUAGUUUACUUUUCAUGAUCAUUGUUUCAUAAGGAAGAGGUUGGCAUGCAUUGUUGGUACUAGAAUAAGUUAAGCCUCCAUGGUAGAGAGUACUUGAGAGUGGGAGAAAGACAAAACCUGAAUCGUUGUUAAUUAUUUCCAGUAAUGAAAUGAAUAUGUAUGUGUGGAUUGUUCUUAUUAUCACAUUAUGGCCUCUGAACCUUGUAAAUGUUCUAUGGUCUGUGAAUGCAUCUAUGGAAUAUUAAUAUGUUCACUUAAAUGAAAACAAUAGUAUUUUCACUUUCAUUUCAUCUGAAAAUUUCACUUUAAAAAAUGCAUUACCACUUUGUUUUGAUCUCCAUAUUCAUGAAUGUAUUCUGCAGAAAUCGUAAUUUUCUUAUUGAUUUACAAGACUCUCAAGAAUAUUCACAAGAAGAGAAUAAUAAUAUAAAAGAGCUUUGAUAGACUGAAGGUUAUCCUUGGGCACCUGAUAAACCAAUUCAUCAACCUGCCAUUUUUCCAUUUACCAAAGAAGCUAGUCAGAAUACAGAGGUUGUUUUGUCUAGUAAGGUAAGCAAACUCUCACCACGACCGACUAACAACGGGCAACCCAGUUAUGAUAUUAGCAUCUUGGGAUUUUUUCUCUACAAGGCCCUUAAUUGGGUUCAUAUAUGGACCCCAGAAUGUUUGUACUCAUUAAGCUUUUCUUUUAUUGAAAAAAAUCACAAUUAGAUCUCAUGUUGUGAAUUAAAAAUGGCAGGUUGACAAUUAAAUGUGGUGAUAAUCCUUGUUUUCUUUUGCCUGUUCAUUAAUUGCUCUGUUAAAAUUGCAGAAUGAUUUGAAAUACCCAUUAGAUUGCCCUGGUGAUACUUUUAUUAGUUGCACCAAAUCUGAAACCGAAUACUGAGCAAACCCUUAUGGAAAAAUUAAUAAGCAGUCCAACCUAAGUGUAGGCUUCUCAGGGGAAAGCUCAACUUACCUUGGAUACAAUAACAGAAAGAAUAGAACAAAUUCGUCCUUACAACACAUGAAAGAGAGUGACCAAAAGAGUGUCCUCCCACCAGAAUGGCUGGUGAAACAUUAUGACAACAACAGAAAUUUUACAUGUUCACAACAUAGCUGUGUGGUUCAUAUAGCAGCAUUUGUUAGGCAAAUUAAUUAUGUGUUCAUGGAACAAGCAACAUGAGAUCUGUCAAGGAACAAUGGUAACAAAAAUCAACAGUAAAGUACAGUCCAGAGUUUUACCAAAAGCAUAAGCAUUUCAGCAAUUCAGCUUUCUAUAAAAGCAAAAUUUAAAGUAUGCUGGUAAGUAGGUUUACAGAUAAUAUAAACUGCAGAUGUGCAGUGGAGAGCUGAUUCAAAGAAGUGAAUGGCCUUAAAUUGAUUAAAAAAAACUGGUGAGGCUGUUACUGUUUUUCUCUCCCCUAUUACACAAAUCAUAAUAAAGGGUAUCUAACCUCAUGUAUGGCCCUAAAGCAUGGUGUUGGUGAGCCCAUUAAAUCGAUUCCUCAAGAUCAUUAUACAACAAGGUCUUUAAAUCUCAAGGGCCUAAGUCAAUGAAGCUUAACAUCAACCUAUAGAAGCUCAUGGCUUCUUCAUUUCAUUGUCUUUUCAAUUUUUUUGUUUGUCAUUAUAAUAGGGGAUCAUAAGGGGGCUAGGAUUCCCAAUAUGGACACAACCUAUAUGUGAAAGGGGCACUUCUCGGCCUCUGGGUGGCACUGCUAUUUUCUGUGAGCUUCUGCCAUUGCAAUGUGCAGAUUGUGCAGAGAGUAAUAUUAACACCAGCCAAGCCUUAUCAGGUAUGUUAUUUUCAAGCUACCAUAUACAGAUUUGUCUUGUCCUGUGAUGGGCACAUGGUCAAUUUUAAGUGUCUAGGGUUGUCCUUGCCAUAUGCUGCAAUGCUAUGCCAUGUUUUCCUGCAUACAAUUCUUUCAAGACUUCCAAAUAUCAUUUCCUUGGGCAUAGUUGAUCCAUGGGCCUGUCUUUAAGAUUCCUAACGCAGAUAUGAAGGCCUUGUGGUCUUUUAUGUUCCAAGGAUGUGACAAUGACAAUGGCAAUAUACUGUAUUUAUAUUCAUGAUCCAAAUGCUCUACAAGUCCCAUUAUCCUUCCUCUGUCAAUUUCAGCAGUUUUUGUAUGAAAAUAGGAUGGUUGAAAGUAAGAAAUUCACCGCUCCAAACCUGCUCCUCAAGCCAGUGAAUGUUUGACAUUGAAAGCUGUUGUUAACAUCUAAGGCUGCAAUGCCCAAAUCUAAUACGAGCCCAGGUCUGAACAAUUAAUAUUGAAGAACUUAUCCAUUGUUUUCUGUAGGCCUUGGCUUAACCAUUGACUGCAAGCUAGAAAAUGGAGAGUUUAAAACAAGGAAAGUUGGAGACAUCAACCAAGAAGGGAAAUUGUAAGUUUUUCUUCCUAAGGAGACUGUAAAAAGACAGUUCAAAGAGGAAUACCUUACACAGUUUCUCAGUGCAUCAGCCGCACCAUGCCCUGCCCAGAGUGGCCUGCAGGCCUCCAAGGUAAUUUUGAAGUCCAAAAUUGAAGGCAAACACAUAUUUGGCCUGGCUGGAAACUGAAGUUCUCAUGAAAAACAUGCACUUCUGCAUUCUUAUGGCCUUUCUAUAAGUACCCACCUCUACCUAAGCUGCCACCUUGGCCCAAGUUGCCAUCCUUUCCCCAAAAAUCACCCAUGGUUUAAGCCCUUGCCCAAGGUUCAUCCUCAAACAAACACUGGUCUACAAGAAACCACUUCCACUACCAGUGUACAAGAAGCCACUACCACCAGCAGCAAUAAUAUACAAGAAGCCCCUUCCACCACAUUUCAGUUUAUAAGAAACCACUUUCACUGUCUGUUCCAGUUCAUAAGAAACCACUUUCAUCACCUGUUCCAAUUCAUAAGAAAACACCUUCACCACCUGUUAUGGUUCAUAAGAAAUCACAUCCUCCUGCAAAGCCAGUAUUCAAGAAGCCCUGGCCACCUCCUGUCCCUGUUGUUAAGAAGCCACUUCCAUCUUCUGUUCCCAUAUACAAGAAGCCACUUUCCUUUCCCCUUCCAAUUCACAAACCAAUACCAGCUUUCUAUAAACCUCUUCCUCCACUCCCCCCAGUUUAUAUGAAGCCAUUUUCUUCCUAAACCUCUCUAACCCUAUAUUUGAUUAAAUAUAUUCCAAAUCGUUGAAUGAAGACUGAGUAGCUAGGGAAAAUUGACUUAAGGAAAUUUAUAGUUAAAAUCCUAGAAUUUUCAAAAACCCAAUUUUAGAAUUCAGAGAGUGAGCAAUCCAAAGAUCUGAAGUUUAGGAUCAAAUCUAUCCUUAAGACAAAUUUGCAUUUGAAACCUAGUUUUAUCCUUUCCUGUUCUGAUCACUAAAUCAAAUACAUAAAUCAAUUAGGCUUUUGGUUCAUAUGUCAAACCUGCCAUCUAUCUUGUAGAUUCAGGUUUCAAAUAGAUCAUAGUAGAUUUGAUUGACUAGUGAUCAAGGAAUUACUAAACAUCACUAGCAACCUAAUAGAUAUCUACCGUAUUGUAUUCUAAUCCAAAGGAUACAGAGAAUUUAUUCUGUCCAUUAAAUCAAACGUAAACCCUAAUCCUUUUAUUUAACUUUAUGGCACUCAUUGCUCCUCCUUGUCCUGCUCUUCUAUCUUCAUGCUAUAAUUCCAGAUGGAAAGGUCUUAGCUUCUAAUAGUCAGGUUUUCACUCACAGAAACUAUAAGAAAACAAAGAUCUAUAUGUAUUGCAAAAUGAGAAGUAAAGAGCAAAUUUCAGAAGUAUCAAGGAUAAUAGUAUAAUAUCUUUCUCUGUAUCUCUAAUUUUUUCAACCCUAAAAAAGGUAGUGAGUGCCCCAUGUCGUGUCUACGUGAUUUACCAUCUCUAGAAGUGCAUAUUUGGGAACCAAUCAGACCUGUAUGGAUUGUUCUGGUUGUUUCACUGUGACUUUUGGACCUGGUGGAUGUUCUGAGUUAAUAUGCCUGGACCUAUCCAAAUGAUGGUACAUCUAACUUUCAUUUAUACAAAUAUGAACCCCCAAGUCAAAGUAAUGGAUCAAGACUGCAUAACCAAUUUCUAUAUAUGCAAAGAAUUUCAGAUGGAAAACUAGGGAAAAUGGGAGGGAAGCAACCAAUCAUUUCUUUCUUUUUCCUUCAUUACUGGUUUGAUUUUAUCAGAUAUGACUGCUUUCUACUCCCCCAAGUAUGAAUGCCCAUUUCCUCUCUCCAAAAUCCAUCCACCCUCCUUCUCCCCUUUUGUUUUAGCAUGAAUUAGGCCUCAUAUCUCUAGCAUGGCAAAACCAUACAUGCAGGAAAUUUCAGGUAUAAAACUCUCCAGAGUGCUGAUCCCUGAUCCCAGGUUCUGCUUUUGAUCAGUAACCUAAUUCACUGCAUGAAAACCAUCAUCCUGAAUGACAUAAAUAUUUGAUUAGUCAGAAAAAUUCACCACCUUUUGUUGUACAAGAGAAUAAUGAAGAGGUUUGGUGGAGUAGAACCAAUAAAUGACCACAUUUUAUCUUGGUGAGAUAGUUGGGCAUUUAUUUUCUGCCACCCCUAUCCACGAAAGAUCCUUCUCGAUCAGAAAAUUAGCUAAUAUAACCAAGGCCAAAGUCUUGUUUUAUCUGCAGCAAAAUAAGCAAUCUUCAACAGGGGCAUAAACUACUAUUAGCAUCCUGAUUGGUCUCAAUUGGGUUCAUAUACUAGUAUAAGCCUCUUAGCUACAAGGGUAAGGUAGAUGUGAGCUUGAUCUUUCUGUUCAUUACCCUAUUAAUAUUUUUACAAUGAUUUUGAAAAACCCUCAUUAAUUUGCAUUCAUGACACCUUUGUGGCUAAAAUAAAUAAUCAGAUAGGAAACAGCAAAUGAAAAGAAUUAGAAUGGACUUAUCUUCACUACAAAAGUGGCACUUGAAAGGUGUUAUCCAAAGCAGUCCCACAAAGAUGCCUGGUGGUUUGGAGGCAGGUGAACCAUAAUAACAACAUGCAUGUGUAAACAAAUUAUGCAUUCAUGAAGGUCAGAAUUGGUGUUGUGAUCGAUCUUGUAGGGCUUAAGUUUUGAUUUUUGUGGCAUUUUGGGAAACCCAGUUUUGGCAUUUAUCGGCCAACCCAGGUCUCCAUUUCUGUUUAUGUAAUGAUCUUAUUUAUUUAUUUAUUUGUUUGUUUAUUUCUAUGGACUGGCUUUAUUCCUGUGCUCAAACUUAAGGUGUCCCUGGUUUAGGGUGAAUUGGGUUUAAAAAUGUAGUCUAUUACAUAUAGUUGCAUAUUAGUUUUAGAAGCAAAAAUUUCCUAGAUGUAGUCUUUGCUAUAGCUACUAGCAGUUCUGAAUAUAUUUUUCUUGUGGAGGUCUUCUAAUAAUCUGCAUUAAGUGCUUUUACCUAAGUUUUCAAUAAAUUUCUCCUUCAAAAUGGAAAGAUUAUCUAAAUCAUUGUUGAGAAAAAAAAAACCCAGAUAAUUAUCUGGGUUAAAGUUUGGAUUUCUCUACUCUUUUUCUCACCUUUCUGAGCAACUAAAUAUUUGGAUUUAGAUCAUAACUCAUAUGAGUCUUUGAAUUUGUGCUUAGUGACCUGACCAAGCCUCCUACGAUGAGUGCAAUCAAUUCAACUGAUUUGAUCCUAGCCCAAGCUCAAUCCAAGUUGGAAAAUUUGAAUUAGAGGUUUUUGUUGUAUCAAACUUGGGGUAUGGGACCUAAAUGAUAAGGUUGGAUUGCUAGGAAGAGUUUUACUAGAGCAUGGGCAUUUCAGCAACUCAACCUACUAUUUUCAUUGAAGCAGAGUUUUAUGAGUGCUUGGUGAGUAGGUUUACUGAUACAAGAACACCAAAAUGCAGCUGCCAAGUGGACGGUUCAUUCAAUGAGGUUAAUGCUAUUUGAUGUACAAACUUAGUAGGCUUUGUCACAGUCUUUUCUUUCCCUGCAAACACAAACCUUCUCAAUUCAUCUAGAGCUCCAUGUGAUGCUUUUAAAGAGAUGUCAGUAAGCCUCCAAAACCGGUUAUUUACUAUCAUUAUAUAACAAGUGUAGGACUCAAGUCACUCAAGGUCUGUAUCAAACAACAGAAGCUUGUAAAGCUUGUAGCCUCUCAACUAAGAUUUUGCCAUUGUCUUCUCUUAUUGUGAGCCAUAAGGGGCAGGGUUCCCAAUGCAGGUUCUUCCCAUAUUUCAAUGGGCAGGUCUAGGCUUCUUUAUAUCCCUGCUGUUUGCUGUGAGCUUCUGCCAUGGCAACAACCAGGAAGUCAUGGUCGUUGGGACAGGAGAAUGUGCAGACUGUGAUCACAGUAACAUUAAGACUAGCCAAGCAUUUUCAGGUAGUCAGUCAUCUUUUUACUACCUACUCAAUUGGGCUUCUCUUACUGUCUAGUUUCACGUCAGAUUUUUUCUAUAAUGCCAUGAUCUGAAUAAACAACUAAUGCUGAAGAUCAUAACAGUGAACUUGUGGAUUAUUUUGUGCAGGCCUCGGUGUAACCAUUGAAUGCAAGCUAGAAAGCGGGGAGUUCAAAACAAGGGCAGUUGGAGAGCUUGAUGAAGAAGGGGAGUUCAAACUUCCUCUUCCUAAGGAGAUAGUAAAAGGUGGAAAGUUGAAGGAGGAAUGCUUUGCACAGCUUCACAGUGCCUCGGCAAAACCUUGCCCAAUCAGAAAUGGCCCAGAGGCUUCCAAGAUAAUUUUGAAGACCACAAACAAUGGCAAACAGGUGUUUGCCCCGGCUGGGAAACUAAAAUUCUCGCCAGUGACAUGCACUUCAGCCUUCUUAUGGCCUUUCUACAAGUACCCGCCUCUUCCCACACUUCCACAUUGGCCCAAGCCUCUGCCCAAGUUCUACCUUCCACCUUUCUCUCCAGUCCCUACUCCAAUUACAUACCCUGCACCAGAAGCUGAUCCUCCAGUCUCUCAUCCCCCACCCCCACCAGUCUAUAAACAACAAAUUCCACCAAGUGUGCCACCAUACACAGCCCCAUCUCCACCUCAAGUCUAUGAUCAACCAAGUCCACAACCAGUAUACUACGAGCCACAUCCACCACCAGUGCCCAUAUACCAUAAGCCCCUUCCUCCACCAGUACGAGUGUAUGGACAACCAUUUCCAUCGCCAGUGCCAGUAUACAAGAAGCCACUUCCACCGCCAGUGCCCAUAUACAAGAAGCCGCCUCUUCCAUCACUUCCACCACCUGUGCCAGUUCAUAAGAAGUCACUUCCUCCACCAGUUCCAGUAUAUGAAACGCCUUAUCCACCUCCUUUUCCUGAGCAACCGCUUCCACCACCAGUACCAAUAUACAAGAAACCACCACUUCCACCACCAGUUCCAGUUUCUCAGGAGCCACUCCCACCACCUAGUCCAGUGUAUAAUGAACCACUUCCUCCUUCUCCAGUUCCAGUUCUCAAGAAGCCUAUUCCACCUAUUGUUGAGAAACCACUGCCACCACCUGUGCCAAUAUUCAAGAAGCCAGCACUUCCACCCCCGGUUCCUGUCUACAAGAAGCCGCCACUUCCCCCACCUCCACCACCUGUUCCAGUCUAUGGGGAACCAUUGCCUCCUCCAGUUCCAGCCUUCAAGAAGCCAUAUCCACCGCCUCUUCCGAUAGUAGAGAAGCCACUUCCACCUCCAAUUCCAAUUCACAAACCAAUUCCUCCAAUCUCCAAGCCUGCCCCAACUCCAGAGGUCCUUCCUGCUCCACCUCCAAUUUACAGUCCAAAACCUCCAAUCCUCAACCCUACUCCAAAGCCAAAAGUCCUACCACCACCACAGCCAGUACCCAUAACCAAAAAGCCACUUCCACCACCUGUUCCCAUUCAAAAACCAGUACCAGCAGCCCAAAAUCCUCCUCCAGUUUACAAGAAGCCACUUCCACCCAUUCCCAAAGCCCCCGCUCUUCCUAAGCUUCCUCCUCUGCCCAAAACUCCUCCGAAGUACUUCUACCACCCAAAGUAUGGACUGGGUAACGCCAAACCACCUAGUUCAUCUCAUCCGUAGGUCACCAUAGUGUCCUUCCCAGGUGUAAUUAGGAAUAAACAAUGGUUCUGCAAUAAAUUAAGCAUCCAUCGCAGAUAAAAAAACAGUCAAAAGAACAAGAAAAAUGGAUGUGGGUGUGUGUCGAUUCUUUUUUUUUUUUUUUUUUUUACUUGAUUGUGCCUUUACAUUAGACAGUGACUAAAUCUUCAAGGCCUGUAACCCAUCUGUGAUGGGUAAUUAUGGAGGCUGAUGAAGCAACCAUUGGUUUCAUUUUCUUGUCUGCUGAUUCAAUCUCUUGAAUUCAAACUGCUAUCUAGUUUACAAUGCACACAUAUGAUUAAAUCUCCAAUUUUUCUUAAACCUUUCUGCCAACAAAGAUUGUGACUUCAAGAGUGGACCACUAAACCCAUAGGAAAACUAUAGCUACUUCAGAACCCGUUCAUAUGUAUUAGACCAUAAAAGAACAUAUGAUAAAGUCAACGAAAGUUGAAACCCUAUCUUUCUCUUUGAUUUCUAAAGUGGUGAAAGGUGUGUUUAAAAGAUUUUACGCCUACAAAUUCAUUGGAAUUGCCUGUGUUAUUAGUGAAUAAAAGUGGUGGGGUGUUACAUUGGUACUUCUAACUAACAAAACCACAUCAAUGGUUUUUAGUUUUCAGAGUAAUAGAUCUUUAGUAGAUUCUAUUUGAAAUUUUAAAUUUAUUAAAAAAAACAAUAAUUUCCAUCCGACCUACCGGAUUCGAACCAGUGACCUAAGGAUUACUAUAAGGUUAAACCCACUACAGUCCUCCGCUCUACCAACUGAGCUAAGGUCGGAUUGAUUAAUAAGCCUAUAAUUAAUAUAUAAACGUAUUAACUAAAAUAAAUAACUAUAACCUUUUGUACAACCUUAUGUUUUUAUCUAAACGUUUUUAUGCACACAUACGAUUGAAUCUCUAAUUUUCAUCAAACCUUUAUAGCAACUAAGAUUGUGAAUAUGAGUGCCACUAGACUCAUAUGAAAAUACUAGCUUCUUUAGAACCCAAUUCAUAUUAAAACAUAUGAUAAAAUCAAAGAAACUUGAAACCUUAUUUGUCUAUUUGAUUCCUUAAGUGGUGGAAGUUGUGUUUUAAAGAUUUUAGGUCUACAGGUUCACUGGAACUUCCUAUGUUACAAGUGAAUAAAAGUAGUGGGAUGUUACAUUGGUGAUACCCAACCAACCAAACUACAUGGAUCAAAUUAUGUUAUUAUUGAAUAAAAAUGGUGGUUGUUGAUCGCAAAUCUCUAUUGUAAAUAAAAUACUAAAACCUAAAUACAUGAUAACUCUGACCAAGAAAAAACCAAAAAUAGAGUUACCACAACUUUGUAGUAUUCCGGGUUGUCGUCCUCUAGGAUUAGUUGUAAUACUUUUAUUUGUUCUUAGAUUCAAAAGAUUAAUUAUUUAUUAAAGGUAAAAAAUAUCUAAUUCAAAUAAAUCAAAAUAAAACAUGGAAGAAAAAUUUCCUAAAUAAACCUAUUGAAAUUAUAAAAUAAUUAUUGAUUUUUACUUCAAUUAAUUAAUCAAGAUUGGGGUUCCACAAUCCAACAUCAAGUAUAAACUUUUAGGCAAAACAAGGCUAUAUAAUUUAAUAAUCUUAGGGUAAUCAAAAUGCAUGGUUUAACGAGAUCAACCUGAGUUAUACACCUCAGAGUUGAUCUAUAUCCUAACUUUUAAUAUUUUAUUUCAUUAAAUUACCUAAUAGAUGAAUGAACAUGAAAUCUAAGUUUAGGUCUAAGGUUUUUAGGUUUUUACCACUCUAUGUAGAUUUGCCUUAGGGUAGAUAACAAUGACAAAACCUUUGAUAACUAGAGAUCAAGAAUUACCAAGAAUCCUUAGUAUCAAGAAAUAUGGGAUUGUAUCAUUUCCUAAGUCAAACUAACUUUAGAGAGUAUUUUGAUUUUAAUAUUAGUGCUCUAACCUUUCAUUCAUUCUAUUAUUAAUUCGAUUUCACCCAUUGUUUCCCUUUGGAUCUAACCCUAAGUUUUCAUGUUUCACCCCAAGAUGACUUUUUAGCCUCUUAUGGGCAUGUCCUCACAUAUAUAGGCCAUAAAAGAAUAAGAAAGAAUCAUUCUUGAUUUCAAAAAAAUUAAAAACAAUAAUUUAUUCAAUAAUAAAAAGAAGAAAGAAAACAUACCAAGAAAAACCUUCAAGGUCUUCUUCUAUUUCCCUAUGAUCGUCAAGUCAUCUCUACUCCUAUAAAAAAAAAAAAAAAAAAAUCAAGAACUCCCUAGAAAACCUAAAUAUUGAGUUUUUAUAGUUUCCUCCAAAAAACUUAACAUGUGGCAUGUUCCUAUUAACCACUUAUUUUACAAAUAAUUACCUAAAAUGACUAAAAAUAAUAAAAUCGUGAUUUCUAGUCGUGUGGGGCCCACUCAGGGCGGAUGAAGUGCCCAAGAUGCAAUUCCCAAAGUAGAUGAGACGAAAUGUCAAUGUGGCAAUGUGUGAAUCUGAAAUUGGGGUCAUUUCAAAUUGGAUUUUUAAUUCAUGAGUUGAAUUUCAAAAUCAUUUCGAAAUAAUCUUUCAACUCUGCAUAGUUAUCUUCAAAUAAUCAUAACUUCUUUGUUUUUGCUCCGAUUUGUACACCAUUUAAAGCGUUGGAUCUGACUUUUAGAGUUUCGAAACGAUAUAUAGAUUGCCUAAAAUGGACUUCAGAAAGUGCUCCAAUUUUUAUUUCAAAGUUGGAGUACAUAUUUCCACCAUAUUUUGCAUUCCAAAUUCCCAUUCAACUUGAUGAAAUUGCUUCAUGCCUCGUUAUCCAUGUUCGCUUGCCUUUCCUCAUAGUCCAUGAGUCUUGACAUGUCCAUUUCCUCAUUUAAACAUUAUCUUAAUCUUUUAAAUUCUAAAGUGAUUCAACUUACACUUUUUUCCUUCCUUAAACCUUAGAUAAAUCUUUAAAAUGCAAGUUAAACUCAUGACUAAGGCAUUAACAACAAUUUUGAUCAAGUUGGAUGAUUUGAGUGUCUUAUGGUACAUAAAUCAUAUCGAAUACGUGUCAUUAGAGUACAUAUUUUGGCUCCAAUAAGUUGUUACAUUGGUAAUGCUCAACCGAUAAAACUACAUCAAUGGUUUGAUCUCACUCAUGUGAAUUAAGCCAUGUUUUCAUAUACAAUUCUUAAAAAGUGGUUUUUCAUAAAAAGCCCUUAGAAUAUUCUAUUUGAAAACUUAAAUAUAUAAUAAGUCCUUGGAAUAUUCUAUUCGAAAUUUUAAAUAUAAAAAAACAACAAUUUCCUUGCGACCUAUUGGAUUCGAACUAGUUACCUUAGGAUUAUAAUUAAGUUAAGCCCACUAUAGUCCUCCACUCUACCAACUGAGCUGAGGUCAGAUUGAUUAAUAAACCUAUAAUACUAAGGUGGUGUUUGUUUUUUUACUUAAUUCUAAAUAGAACCUUAAUGCUUAAUAGUGUUAAAUAUUAGAUUGUUUGUUUUUGUAGUAUUUUAUUUCUAUUAAGUAUUAAAAAGUAAAAAAAACCAAUAUGUUAUUUUUUCUAUUUAGAAAAAGCUACAUAUUUUGGCUUUUUCUAUUUAGUAAAAAGUUUAUAAUAAGUCAUGAAAAAGUAGAAAAACAAAUAACCUAAAUUCUAAAAUUAAAUUGCUUUCAGCAAAAAGCCAAAAAAACAAACACCACCUAAGAGUAUGUUUGACAGUGAUUCUAAGAAGUGUUUCUAACAUCUUUAAUAUUUGAAAUAUAAAAAUUUUCAAGUGUUAGAAAGAUUAUAAACAUUUCCUAAAAUCAUUGCCAAACACACUGUAACUCUUUUAGAACUCAGUUAUGAAGUUUGACUAAAUACUUCAUUAAAGAAAAUUAACUAUGCUCUAGCAUGCUAUGACUUAUUCAUCCUGAUGGUUUCAUACAUUUAUGUAUAAUACAAAAGUUUUCAAAACAUUAUCUAUAUUUUCAAUCAUUGAUUAUAGCAUUAAAAAAAAAAUCAAUUGAAAACAUCUAAAAUUUAUUCUAAAAUAUAGCAUAUUUUCAUAACAAAAUUUCAAAAUAAUUAUAUUCUAUCAAAAGUUUGUCAAAACAUAUUUUAUGUUUUAAAGAGCAUAAAACUGCUUCUAAGAAUGGUUUUCAAAAGGGGAUUCAUAUACCCAAUUCAUCCAAAAGUUUUAAAGUAUUAGGUGGUGUUUGUUUUUUGACUGAAUAGAAAAAACCAAAAUAUUUGGCUUUUUCUAUUCAGCUAAAAGCAACUUACUGACAUCGUCCAACAUAACUAAAUUGAACCUAUUAAUAACAAGUUCAUUUUAGUUGUGUUGGACGAUGUCAACAUGUUACUUUUAGUUGAUAGAAAAAAAAAAAUAUUUUGGCUUUUUCUAUUCAGUUAAACAACAAAUACCACCUUAGAUAAUAGAUAAAUAAUGUGUACAGAGUCUAGCGGCUGAAAUCUUACUAAUUAGAGGAAACGCCAAGGAAAAUACUUAAAAUACUAUUGAUCCAAACUACUUUCAUCUUGGUUUACAUAUCAUGCAGUCCUUUGAGGCUUUCCAACUGUAACAAACAUCAACAAUGAAGCAUUACUGAGAGUUUUAUGGGUGUUGGUAAGUAGGUUGAUAGAUAAAGGAGAUCACCAAAGAUGCAGCUGUGCAUUGGAGAGCUUAUUCAAUGUAGUUUAUGGCAUUUUGAUCAACAAAACAGUUGAGCUCUAUUACAGUCUUAAUUUCUUACCCCUCUAGCAUAAAUCACCUAAUUAAACCGAUCCUUAACCUCACAUGGAGCUCUUAAAUGUGGCGUCGGUGAGCCUCCUAAACUGCCUCCUCAUGAUCAUUAUAUAACAGGGUCUGAAGGACUCUAGUCACUCAAGCCUUCGAUCAAACUAUAAAAGCUUGUAGCUUCCCAAAUCCCUUAACCUUGCCUUUGUUUUCUCAUUUUCUUUGUGAAGCAUAGGGGGAGGUUUAAUUUUCUGUUUUCCUAAUGGGAUCACCUCCCAUUUGUGGAGGAACACUUCUGGGCUUCUGGGUGUUCCUGCUUUUUUCUGUGAUCUUCUGCUAUGGCAGUGCUGAUCAAUUUGAGGUAGUUGGAGUUGUAGAAUGUGCAGACUGUUCUGAGAGUCGUAUUAAGGCUAGCCCAGCCUUUUCAGGUAUGUUGGUUUUUCAGUAUUGGCAUCAUAGAAACAAGAUCACAAGACCAUUGAUUAAUUAAUAUCCAUUACUCUUGAGCAGGGCUUGGUGUGACCAUUGACUGCAAGCUAGCAAAUGGAGAGUUCAAAACAAGGGCAGUUGGAGAUGUCAGCAAUGAAGGAAAAUUCAAGGUGUCUCUCCCUGAGGAGAUGGUGAAGGAUGGAUAUCAGUUGAAAGAAGAAUGCUUUGCACAGCUUCACAGUGCCUCAGCAGCACCAUGUCCUGAUGCACAGAGCGGCCUAGAGGCCUCCAAGAUAGUCUUGAAGGCGAAAACUAUUGGGAAGAAAAACGUAUUUGGCCCAAUCGCAAAUCUAAAAUUCUCUUCUCUAACUUGCACUUCAGCCCUUUGGUGGUCUUUCUACAAGCAUCCUCCCCUGCCCAAGCUGCCACUGCCCUUUCCCAAGGCCUAUCCUCCACCUUGGAAGAAAUUUGGCCAUGUCUACAAGAAGCCACUUCCACCAUCAAUACCAAUAUACAAAAAGCCCCUCCCAUCUCCAGUCCACAAGAAGCUGCUUCCACCCAAGGUACUCAUACACAAGAAGCCUCUUCCACCAAAAGUACUGAAACCCAAUAAGCCAUUCCCACCACCUUCGCCAGUUUACAAGAAGCCUUUUCCUCCAUCUGUACCAGUUUUUAAGAAACCAAUCCCACCACCUGUUCCAGUGUACAAAAGACUUCCUCCGCCCCCUGCGCCCGUUUAUCAGAAACGGUUGCCGCCACCAGUUCCGGUGUUCAAGAAGCCUUGUCCACCGCCUGUUCCCAUAGCUAAGAAGUUGCUUCCACCCCAUGUCCCCAUAUACAAAAAGCCGCUUCUGCCUCCCACUCCAAUCUACAAUAAGCCAAAUCCACCACCAUUCUAUAAAUGGUCAAUUCACAAGCCAAUACCACCAGUCUACAAACUUCUUCCUCCAAUCCCUCCACUUUACAAGAAGCCAUGUCCACCCAUUCUUAAGCCUCCUCAUUAUCUUCCUAAGCUUCCUCCAAAGCUCUUUCCCUUCCCCAAGUUCGGACCCUAUCCUCCUAUACAACCUUAUUUCCCUCAUCCUUAAGCUGCCAUACUAGCUUCCUAAGCACAAUGCCUUCAUGGUAGACAGAGAAAUCCAUUGAAAAAACAUGGGUCAAAAUGAAUUGAAUUGAGCGUAUUCUUGAGAGUUGUCAGUGAUCUGUUUUCGUAAAUUUUAUGUGUAAACAAUUUCAGAUGGAGAAGUAUGGAAAAUAAGAAGGAAGCAAGCAUUCAUUUCAUUUUAUGUUCUACUGGUUCGAUUUUUUUUCCAUGACUGUUAUACUCCCUGGUUUGAACUCUCCCAUCACCCUCAAAGGCUUUUGUGGACUAGAAAUCAGAGGAUGAAUGAACUCAAUUCAAGUUAGGCUAGGCGAGAAACUCGGGCCUUAGCUGAACCAUAACCUACAUAAUUUAUAUUGUUAAAAGCUGGCUGGGAAUAAUUUCGAGGCUUGCUAUAAGCUCUUUUUAAUGUUUGAAAGCUUUAAAAAAAAUGUAUAAGUAAUGAAUAAAUUUAAAAAAAAUCAUUUUUAAAGAAUUAUUUAAAGUGAUUCUUUAACAAGUCAUUGUAAGUGAUUCUUCUAAUUUGGAUAUACUUCUUAUUGUUUGUUUUUAGCACACAUACCAUAUAGUAUAAAAAAUAGAGCUCUAUCCGGCAUUGUAUUGAUAAAAAUGGCAUGAUUAAGGGAAAAAGAAAAAAAGAAACAUUAUCGUUCUUUUAUGAUUCACACUUAAAUAGAAAAAUGAAGAAACAUAAAUGUUGUCCGGUAUCAAUAAUAGGGUUAUAACAGAGUAAAUAAAAGAGGUUGCUUUGAACUCAAGGAAGAGCAAGUCAAUUAACAUUGUUUUAAUUCCCUCGUUUCAACCUUGAUUAAGCCACUAAAAAUCAACUAGUGAUUCAUAUGCAUGUUCUUUAUCGGUCAAUUGAGAAAUAAAUAUUUCUAAACUUCAAACAUAUUACUAUAAAAAUAACUUAGAGAAUUUGAAUUGUUAGUAAAAGACUAAAGUUAUAGUCCAAAUUACCUAGAUGUAUAUGGUUAACCUAAUGAUCCAAUUAAAGCAUAUGACAAAUUCAAAGAAAGUUAAACUUCACCCCCAUCUUAAUUCGAUAAUAUAAUUUUUUUUUAAAAAGAAAAAGAAAAUGAGAAAUUAAUCCAAUAAUGCCUAUAAAUGAGUUGGAAAGGUGUUUCCCCACGUAGGAGGUGGAAGGUGUAUCUUAAAGAUUUUAGGCCUACAACCUCAUUUAAAAGUAUAUAUAAGUACUAUUAGUGAAGAAAGUGGUGGGGUGUGACAUUGGUAAUGUCCAAUUGACCACAUCGGUGAGGCUUUUAUCUCAUGAUUUCUUAUAUAAACUAAAAUCCUUAAGACAAUAUGGUAAAAAAAAAAAAAAUUUAAGUUGUUAGGUAAUGGGUCAAUAAUUUAUAUUAAGUUGGAUUGAUCUAAAACAUUAUUGAUUUCAAGGAAAAAGAAGGGAAAAAUACUUGAAAUACUAGUGAUCCAAACGACUUUCAUCUUGGUUUCCAUAUUAUGGCUUCCUUUCAAGCUUUCCCAAUGUAACGUAAAGAUCAACAAUGAAACAUUACUCAUAGUUUUACAAGAAGCAUGAGCUUUUCAGAAAUUCAACCUACAUCUUUACAGAAGCAAGGUUGUAUGGGUGAAUUGGUAAGUAGGUUCACAGAUAAAGAGAUCACCAAAGAUGCAGCUGUGCAUUGGAGAGCUCAUUCAAUGUAGUUUAUGGCAUUUUGAUCAACAAAACAGUUGAGCCCUAUUGCAGUCUUAAUUUCUUCCCCCCCAAGAUUAAAUCACCCAAUUAAACUGAUCCUUAGCCUCACAUGGAGCUCUUAAAUGUGGCGUAGGCAAGCCUCCUAAACUGCCUCCUCGCGAUCAUUAUAUAACAGGGUCUGAAGGACUCUAGUCACUCAAGCCUUGAAUCAGACCAUAGAAGCUUGUAGCUUCACAACUCCUGAACCUUGGCUUUAUUUUCUCACUUUCCUUGGGAAGCAUAGAGGGGAGGUUUAAUUUUCGAUUUUCCUGAUGGGAUCACUUCACAUCUGUGAAGGAUCACACCUGGGCUUCUGGGUGUUCUUGCUUUUUUCUGUGAGCUUCUGCUAUGGCAAUGCUGAUCAAGUUCAGGUAGUUGGAAUUGUAGAAUGUGCAGACUGUUCUGAGAGUCAUAUUAAGGCUAGCCAAGCCUUUUCAGGUAUGUUGGCUUUUCAGUAUUUGCAUCAUAGAAACAAGAUCACAAGACCAUUAAUUGAUUAAUAGCCGUUACUCUUGAGCAGGACUUGGUGUGACCAUUGACUGCAAGCUAGCAAAUGGAGAGUUCAAAACAAGGGCAUUUGGAGUGGUCAGCAAUGAAGGAAAAUUCAAGGUGUCUCUCCCUGAGGAGAUGGUGAAGGAUGGAUAUCAGUUGAAAGAAGAAUGCUUUGCACAGCUUCACAGUGCCUCAGCAGCACCAUGUUCUGAUGCACAGAGCGGCCUAAAGGCCUCCAAGAUUGUCUUGAAGGCGAAAACUAUUGGGAAGAAAAACGACUUUGGCCCAAUCGAAAAUCUAAAAUUCUCUUCUCUAACUUGCACUUCAGCCCUUUGGUGGUCUUUCUACAAGCAUCCUCCCCUGCCCAAGCUGCCACUGCCCUUCCCCAAGGCCUAUCCUCCACCUUGGAAGAAAUUUGGCCAUGUCUACAAGAAACCACUUCCACCAUCAAUACCAAUAUACAAAAAGCCCCUCCCAUCUCCAGUCCACAAGAAGCUGCUUCCACCCAAGGUACUCAUACACAAGAAGCCUCUUCCACCAAAAGUACUGAAACCCAAUAAGCCAUUCCCACCACCUUCGCCAGUUUACAAGAAGCCUUUUCCUCCAUCUGUACCGGUUUUUAAGAAACCAAUCCCACCACCUGUUCCAGUAUACAAGAGACUUCCUCCGCCCCCUACGCCCGUUUAUCAGAAACGGUUGCCACCACCAGUUCCGGUGUUCCAGAAGCCUUGUCCACCGCCUGUUCCCAUAGCUAAGAAGUUGCUUCCACCCCAUGUCCCCAUAUACAAAAAGCCGCUUCUGCCUCCCACUCCAAUCUACAAUAAGCCAAAUCCACCACCAUUCUAUAAAUGGUCAAUUCACAAGAUAAUACCAC